rnacentral:rRNA from 1 species
UACGAAGGGGGCUAGCGUUGCUCGGAAUCACUGGGCGUAAAGGGUGCGUAGGCGGGUCUUUAAGUCAGGGGUGAAAUCCUGGAGCUCAACUCCAGAACUGCCUUUGAUACUGAAGAUCUUGAGUUCGGGAGAGGUGAGUGGAACUGCGAGUGUAGAGGUGAAAUUCGUAGAUAUUCGCAAGAACACCAGUGGCGAAGGCGGCUCACUGGCCCGGUACUGACGCUGAGGUGCGAAAGCGUGGGGAGCAAACAGGAUAGAUACC